UGCACCCUGAGAGCUGAGGCUGGUCUCCCAUGGGCCCUCAGGCUUCGAUUCUGUGGAUGCCGG
rnacentral:miRNA from 1 species